rnacentral:rRNA from 1 species
UACGAAGGGGGCUAGCGUUGCUCGGAAUCACUGGGCGUAAAGCGCACGUAGGUGGGUCGUUAAGUCGGGGGUGAAAUCCUGGAGCUCAACUCCAGAACUGCCUUCGAUACUGGGAAACUUGAGUCCGGGAGAGGUGAGUGGAACUGCGAGUGUAGAGGUGAAAUUCGUAGAUAUUCGCAAGAACACCAGUGGCGAAGGCGGCUCACUGGCCCGGUACUGACGCUGAGGUGCGAAAGCGUGGGGAGCAAACAGGG